UCGGAGUGCUUGCACUCUGUGAAACAAGAUACAGGCUAGCGGCGGACGGGUGAGUAACACGUGGGUAACCUGCCCAAGAGAUCGGGAUAACACCUGGAAACAGAUGCUAAUACCGGAUAACAACAGAUGAUGCCUAUCAACUGUUUAAAAGAUGGUUCUGCUAUCACUCUUGGAUGGACCUGCGGUGCAUUAGCUAGUUGGUAGGGUAACGGCCUACCAAGGCGAUGAUGCAUAGCCGAGUUGAGAGACUGAUCGGCCACAUUGGGACUGAGACACGGCCCAAACUCCUACGGGAGGCAGCAGUAGGGAAUCUUCCACAAUGGACGCAAGUCUGAUGGAGCAACGCCGCGUGAGUGAAGAAGGGUUUCGGCUCGUAAAGCUCUGUUGUUGGUGAAGAAGGACAGGGGUAGUAACUGACCUUUGUUUGACGGUAAUCAAUUAGAAAGUCACGGCUAACUACGUGCCAGCAGCCGCGGUAAUACGUAGGUGGCAAGCGUUGUCCGGAUUUAUUGGGCGUAAAGCGAGUGCAGGCGGCUCGAUAAGUCUGAUGUGAAAGCCUUCGGCUCAACCGGAGAAUUGCAUCAGAAACUGUCGAGCUUGAGUACAGAAGAGGAGAGUGGAACUCCAUGUGUAGCGGUGAAGUGCGUAGAUAUAUGGAAGAACACCGGUGGCGAAGGCGGCUCUCUGGUCUGUUACUGACGCUGAGGCUCGAAAGCAUGGGUAGCGAACAGGAUUAGAUACCCUGGUAGUCCAUGCCGUANACGAUGAGUGCUAAGUGUUGGGAGGUUUCCGCCUCUCAGUGCUGCAGCUAACGCAUU
rnacentral:rRNA from 1 species